rnacentral:rRNA from 1 species
GAGUUUGAUCAUGGCUCAGAUUGAACGCUAGCGGGAUGCCUUACACAUGCAAGUCGAACGGCAGCACGGACUUCGGUCUGGUGGCGAGUGGCGAACGGGUGAGUAAUGUAUCGGAACGUGCCUAGUAGCGGGGGGAUAACUACGCGAAAGCGUAGCUAAUACCGCAUACGCCCUACGGGGAAAGCAGGGGAUCGCAAGACCUUGCACUAUUAGAGCGGCCGAUAUCGGAUUAGCUAGUUGGUGGGGUAACGGCUCACCAAGGCGACGAUCCGUAGCUGGUUUGAGAGGACGACCAGCCACACUGGGACUGAGACACGGCCCAGACUCCUACGGGAGGCAGCAGUGGGGAAUUUUGGACAAUGGGGAAACCCUGAUCCAGCCAUCCCGCGUGUGCGAUGAAGGCCUCGGUU